AUUGAACGCUGGCGGCAGGCCUAACACAUGCAAGUCGAACGGAGUGGCGGACGGGUGAGUAAUGUCUGGGAAUCUGCCUGGUAGUGGGGGAUAACGUCCGGAAACGGGCGCUAAUACCGCAUACUAUCAGAUGAGCCUAGGUCGGAUUAGCUAGUUGGUGGGGUAAAGGCCUACCAAGGCGACGGUCCGUAACUGGUCUGAUAGGAGGAUGAGGCAGACUGCAACUGAGACACGGUCCAGACUCCUACGGGAGGCAGCAGUGUGGAAUCUUGGACAAUGGGCGAGAGCCUGAUCCAGCCAUGCCGCGUGUGUGAAGAAGGUCUUCGGAUUGUAAAGCACUUUAAGUUGGGAGGCGUUACCAACAGAAUAAGCACCGGCUAACUUCGUGCCAGCCGCCGCGGUAAUUC
rnacentral:rRNA from 1 species